UACGAGGGGGGCAAGCGUUGUUCGGAAUUAUUGGGCGUAAAGGGUGCGUAGGCGGUCUGACAAGUCUGAUGUGAAAUCUAUGGGCUCAACCCAUAGCCUGCAUCGGAAACUGUCGGGCUAGAGUCCGGAAGAGGCGAGUGGAAUUCCUGGUGUAGCGGUGAAAUGCGCAGAUAUCAGGAGGAACACCAAUGGCGAAGGCAGCUCGCUGGGACGGUACUGACGCUGAGACGCGAAAGCGUGGGGAGCGAACAGG
rnacentral:rRNA from 1 species